GAUAUCAGGUUAGCUGCCACUCACCCAUGCUAUUCAAGACUCAAAUAAAGCCUUUCCUUUCACAUCCUGAAAUAGUGAGGUAUAUUUUUCUCACAAAGAAACUUGAAGAAUAAGAUUGACGGGAACGGGAGGCGAGCCGCUUACGGCCCGCUUGGUCCCGCCUGCACUUGGAUGAAAGAGGCGACUGAGCAGCGAAAAUAUUGAGAGAAUAUGGCGUUCAAUAGUUAAUCAAGGACGAUGGUUACAAUUCUCCGAGAUGUCGACUUCUGCGCUUCAUUGCACGAGGCCAUCCUAGACCUCAACGGUUACUCAAGACUAUCCCUAAUCGUCUCAACGGGUACGUACCAACGUUUCUAAAAAUUCAGCUAACAAACCCAUGCACAUUAAUUUAAUAAAAGUUCCACUAUAGCAAACUCCGGGGAGACUAAAAUUACUAAAACAACACAAAACAAGGACUGAUCCAAUCCUUGAUUAGAACGACACUGAAAGCAGAUAGGAGGCCAUAACUUGCCA
rnacentral:lncRNA from 1 species